rnacentral:tRNA from 1 species
UGGCACAAGGGUUAACGCUUUUGGCUGCUAACCAAAAGGUUGGUGGCUCGAACCCACC